rnacentral:lncRNA from 1 species
GCUAGGUGUGUCUGAGCUCAGACUCUCCUUGGGUGAGUCUUGCUGUGGCUGCUGUGGGGGAGGGGGGGGUGAGGUUCCCAGGUGAAUAGAGUUGUGUACCUAGGAGGAUAAUGGCUGCCUCUGCUGAGUCAUGCAGGUUGUUAGGGAAGUGAGGGAAAGCUGGCAGUCACAGGCCUCACCCAGCUCCCAUGCAAUCCAAAUGGCCAGUCUCACUCUCACCAUGCCCCCUCUAAAGCAUUGAGUCUGUUUCCAAGCAGUGGGUAAGCAGGGGUGAGAACUUGCCGCAGGCUACCCACCUCCCAGCUGUGAAAGAAAAGGGCUUUCGUUCUUCCCCCACCUGUGGAGUCUACACGCUGGAUUUGUGCCCUCCCUUGAGUUCUGGCCAGGAGGCUUCUCCACCUGUUCAAAUUGUUAUAAAGUUCAGCUGGAGACUUCCUUCUCUCCGUGGCAUUUUCCUCAUGCCUCUGGCCACCCUCCCAAAGGAUCCCUGUGAGGCCAGGCAGGAAUGGCCUGCUUGGGGACCCAGCAAGCUUCUAGGGCCUUUGCUGCUGCUUCCUCUACCCCUGUAUUUCGCUCGGCUCUCUAAAUGGACUCAGCUCCAGAUGAGGAAACGGAGAUUCACAAAAAUCAGGUCAUUUGUCUGAGGUCCGAGUACUGUGUGAUAGAGCAAAGAUUUGAACCCAGCUCUCUACUUACAGGUAAAUUGUCUUGUGAUUAUUUCCACAGAACUCUGACUUGGAUAAGACUUGUAUCCAUUUUAUUACGAUGUUCUUCUUUUUUACAAUUUAGUUCCCCAGAGGGCAAGACCAAGACAGGCUGCAUGGAGAUUGUAGCAUGAAUGCAGAUAUUGGAAAUUUACUGGAUGUAUGAUCAGACAAACCAAUUGAAGUGGAGAAGAGAACCAAUCAGCCAAAUCAUUACAGAAGUUGCACCACUGCCUGAAAUAUCUUGACUGAUUCUAUAUAAGUUGAAUUUUUGCCGAAUAAAUUCUGAAAAUAAUUACAAGCUUCCUUUUGAUUUGAAUGUUACACAUCAAGUUCUAGUAAGAGCUAAUUUUACAUCAUUGACAGAUAACAAAAUAGAAGGAACAAAGUGCCCUUUGAGUUAAGGGCACUCCAAUGUCCCGGAAUUUAACCUUUUUGUCAGAUCAAUAAGGUUUAGUGCAACUAGCCAGACACCUGUCC